rnacentral:tRNA from 1 species
GUACGAGUAGCUCAGCUGGAUAGAGCGUCUGGCUACGGACCAGAAGGUCGUGGGUUCAAAUCCUGUCUCGUACA